rnacentral:lncRNA from 1 species
GAAGGCUCUAGCUUUGGCCCUCCUAUCUGAAUUCCCAUGAUAUUUCACGUGGGUAUAGGGAGGAGGAAGCAGGUCACUGAGUACAAGGGGAGAAGAGGUUUAUGUAUUCUUUUUCCUAAGGCUUCUGUUAAUGUUAUUAGGACAAACAAUUGCUGAGAUGGAAGAAGCUCUUUUUUAUUGAUGGCUUCUGGACAAAUCCCUUUGUUUGGAUCUCAGUAUGCUUCCUCCAAACUUCAUACAUAUUUUUUAGCACGUAUAUUCUCAGUCACAUAAAAAUUUGAUAUCUACUUCAUGCAAUAUGGAGACCAUCAUAAAUCUAGUAUGGCCAAGGAGAGUUAUCAGUGUCCCUAAUAUUUUGGGGCUGCUCCUAAAGUAACCCUUUUGAUUGACUGCAGGAGCACAAUAGUUGAUCCUCAAAAACCCUCUUGUGUUCUGCAUCCUUAUGACCCAAAUACUUCAAGACAAACAGACAUAAAUUUGUUUUCGUCUUCCUAAAUGUUCCCCUGUGUCAUGACAUCCUACUUAAUGUCUUCAGUCUCAUGAGUAAGCCUAAGUAGCAGGUAGGGCUGCCAAGUAAUGUAGAGAUAUUGGAACCGAAGACAGGAGAUCUUUCAAGAAAAUUGUGAAAUAUUUGAAUAUUAUGCCACCCCACUGUAUGGUAGGUAGCUAACAAGAGGAAGUAACUAUAUAGUGUUCAAAUGAGAAGAAAUAAGAAUGUAGAAGUAGUUGUCUUCUAAAGCAGAUGAUGUUCCACUAUAUCCUAAUAUUAUUUACUCUGUGGACCCAGUUCAUUUCUAUUACUACUACUUUACCAUCUCAUACCCAGGUAAUGUAAUCCCCUUGCUUAUCAUUUUUACCCACUCUAGUGCAUCUCAAUUGCUUCAUGUGUUGACGGUUUUCUUUCUGUAUCAAUUUUUGUUAUGACCUAUUGGCCAUCUUGGGAUAUUUCUCAGGUUAGAGACACUGCAGGUGCAAUAGAAGCUGUGUGAUUUUUGGAUUCUCACUUAUUUUCUAAGGCUUGGAUUACCUUUUGGUAAAUGAGGAUAGUAGUAUCUGCAUCACACAGUUAUCAUGAGGAUUAAAUGGAAGAGCAGACUGAUAACAUUUCAGGUCAGGCAAGAACUAUCAAGCGCUCAAUACAUGUUAGUUUUAAAGAUUACUGUUAGAAAAAAUUUAUUCCUUUUCAUUGUUCCCCAACACAAGCCUUCCUUUUCAUUAGGGAGGUGGUGUUUCUAAACAUUCCAUGUCCAAUUUCAAUCUUGGUUCUCAGUUUGGCUUUUAUGCUACAAUGUAUUUUUUUUCCCCCCAUGUGGUGCUGGGGCUUGAACUCAGGGUCUCAUGCAUGCAGAGCAACACUCUACCAACUAAGCUAUAUCCCUGGCCCUGAUUUUUUUGAGUGCCCUUCUCCUUCUACCUUGCAAUUUAAGUUCAAAUCAUUUUUUUUUUUUAAUCCAGACGAGCCCAUUUUGUUUAACAGACAGCUUUCCAAUAGCUUAAUUUCCCACUGAUCUGCCCUUCCUUUAAACUCCCUAAUAAAACAGCAAAUUCGACUCUCUUAUCACAGUGCAUUUCGAUGUAACAAUGUUAGAUUUAUAUUUUGUAUAUUUCUUAUUGUUUUCUAUAUUUUUUCUUUGUAUUUUCUUUCCUUCUCUAACUAUGUAGUAUGCUCAUGGAGAGAAAGGUUUUGUUGUCUUUUCUUCUCUUUUUUAUACUUAAAAAAGUGUACAUUAAGUGUGUAGUUAACUUAAUUGUUAAUUAUUUAACAAUUGUUACAUAAAUUGAUUAAUUGUUCAUAAAUGUGAAACUUUUAUUCCUGUUGACUUGUAAUAACUGUUAAAUUGCAGUGUUAGACACCCAUGGCUGGUUCCAUGGUAGUAUAUAUCAAAUGUAUUUAGUUUUUGUAUGUUUGAGAUAUUAGCAUGUGUUUUGGAAGCCUGGAAUUUGAACUUUUUAGACUUUUCUUAAAAAUAAUAAACAUCAGGUACAGUUUGAGUUUGAAAUACUUUUGUCUGAAGUAAUAGGAAACCUGACUCUGGGGAUGUUAAAUAUAUAAGGGUUUAUUUUUCUCAUGUAACAAAAAGUCUGGUGGCCAGCAAGCAGUUUGGAGUUGCUCAGCGAGCACCAGAGACCAGGGUCUUCCUUUCUCCCCCAGGAUCCCUAGCAUAUGACUUGCCUUCUCACACAUGCCAUUUCAUUUUUGUAUACUACAAGAUGUUAUCACUACACUUAAGUGUCAGGUCCACAUUAUGGGAAGAAAGAAGUAGGAGAAGAAAAGAGUAGAAAGGGGCACAUCUGCGUAUUUAAUUUUUUUAAAAAAAU